rnacentral:ribozyme from 15 species
AAGAAAUUUUUAAAAAAAAAAAAAAAAAAAAAUGGUCGAAUCGAGAAAGACAAAACACUCUUUUUCUUAUUUUAUUUAAGUGAUUUAUUUCCAGCUUACAUCUCC